GGAUGAAGGAAGGAAGCGUGGUGGUCUUGUUGGAAAGAGUGAUGGGAGAAAUGCCAAUGCCUCGAAAGGACCGAACACUUGCUCAAAGGAGAGGCUUUGAUCAAAGAGGUUAAGCAAGAAGCUGAAGAUGGAUCCUCUCUGCAGAGGACAAGAGAAGACAGCAUUCCCAGUCAGACAUCGUGGAAAGGGGAGAGAGUUCUGCUGACAACCCCAAAGAAUAUAUAUGUCCUUCCUUCGGGUCUGUGUUGGU